UCUAUGUGAUCCUGGGCAAAUCACUUAACUUCUCUGUGCCUCAGCGCCCCACGUGCACAAUGGGGAUCACCUGCCCUGCCUGACAGGUGUUGUGAGGAUAAAUACAUUAAAGACGUGAAGUGCUUGGAGAUCUACUGAUAAAAAGUGCAAUAUAAGCAAUAGAUAUUAUUAAUAUUCCCUAAAUGAUCCUGCUUUGCUGCUGCCACCAGUUUGAGCCUGGAUUGAAGUUCCUUGCCAGCCCGCUGCUAACGAGAACAUCCAGGAGUGGUCUCUCUUUUAUGAUGCAAAGAUAUUCCUCCCAAUGACAGUGCCCAAAGCUGUUUCCAUGAUCCUACAGGCCCUGUGGGAAUGAAGGACAGUGCCCAAGCUCCUGGGGGAGUUGCUGGCUUCAGGACAGGCCCACAGCUGAUAAACAUGACUGGCUGCCCCCAUGUGACACUGCCCGAUUUCCUCCACAGAGCAGGUAUCUCCGGGAGAAGGACCCCUUUGGAACACAAAUUGAUUAAGUUCCUUUCAAAACAGAAACAGCUGUUGGGGGUGAAAGGAGAGAAGCGAAAGGAUAUGGAGCACAAAACAAGACAUGCCUGAAAAUGACACAUGACUGGCCAAAGGGGAAGAGGGAUUCGCCAUUCUCUGUCAUGAAUGUCAGUGAGUUAGAGAUGGCCCCAGACCGUCUGGGGACACUUGAUAUGCCAGUAAAAGAGAUUGACAGGAGCCUGCUGGGCUUCAUUAAUGCCCCAGAUGGAAAACAAUUUGCUGGCCAUCAUCUUUGCCUCAAAGUUACAGAACUGAAAACCAGGCUAGUCUCACCCUGCUCUGCUUCAGUCACUGCUGGAUUUAUAUUGCAAGUUCUAUUCAUCAGUCUGUUCACUUAUAUAUAUAUAUCUCCUCGGCCCCACCACAACAGCCACCUGUGGCCUCCAUCCCUGCCAGAACAAGCCCCUCCAGGGCCCCUGUUCCCCUGUAGAUCACAUCAUAGUUUCUACCCACAGUAUUUAUCUCACCGUCCCAUCCAUCUAUCCAUCCCAUCUCGCUUGCUCAUCCUUCCAUGGAUCCAUCCAAUCAUGCAUCCACUCCUGGCAUCCACCCCUCUAUCCCUCUACUGCAUCCAUCUGCAGCAUCUAUCAGUUGGCCUAUCAUGUUCCCUCCAGCCCUUUAUCCUGCAACAGCCUAUCUGUCUGUCUGACUGUAACCAAAGGGAGCUUGUGUCUGAUGCCUGUGACAUCUAAAGGUUUGGUCCUGGUGGAAAUGUGUCUUGCGGGUCAUGUGGUAAUAAGGUGUAUCCAUGGAGAUGGUCAGAGACAGUCGCAUGGAGAGCUGUCAGUCAAGGGGCUCCAACUUAGCAGCCACCUUUCCCAGCUCUUUGUUAGGUAGAAACCUGUGCUGGGUAAAGGUCUGUGAGAGGUAAUCGGUCCAAUUCAUUUUAAAACCCUGGGAACCCAGGGGGCAGGAGCCUCUGGAUGUCUUUGCUGGUCCCAGUCACACCCCUAGCCUGGGGUGUGUGGGAUACUGGAUUUUCAGGCGCAAGCUGCACUAUAAUAUUUAGGCAGAUUUGUAACCGGUCAUUGGCCUGGUUUGUAUCCGCACAGAUGCGGUUAGUAUUUAGUUAAUAAUCGUGGCAGCUGUCCAGGUGUUGCCCUUGCCAACAGGUUAGGUGGAGCCAGGGUUGUCAUCCUGUUGUGGGUUUGUAGCACAGUGCUUUGCUGACCCUAUAAGUGUGUCUUUGUAACAGACUUGGCCAGUCUUUCUGCCUCCCAGCUGUCUGUGACAGGACAUCCCAGACUGCUUUGCCUCACAUGCUGCCCUCUGUGUCUGUCCUCUGUGUAGGCUAGUGUCAUCGGAGGCACUGCAACACCCAAAGAACACCCAAACUCAGAUAGUCAGUGGUAUUAUAUUAACAACCCCUUGGGAUUUUUGCUGUAGGCUUUGUCACAAUGGCAUGGUAGGAGCUGAAAUCUCAAGGCUUAAGAGGUGGUAAAGGAUGUGAAAUCAAAUAUCUAGGUCCUGAAAUUCUUCCUGAGGAGACACUAGUUCCGCCUCUUGCAUUAAUCUCCACCCUGAGGCCUGAGACAUUGACUCCGAAAUCAUGUGGUCUAUCUUCCUGCUGCCCCAUUGCCUCUGGCCAUUGCUGUGUCCUGUCCACUCAUCAAGCCAGCAACCAGCAGGGGGCAGGAGGCAUGUAUGGGGAAGGCAGGGAUGGAUUGGCAUGACAAGGAAGGGCAGAGACCAUGGCCAGCUGGUCUAGGGAGGGGAUCCAGACCUGGGGAUGUGGGCAAGGGGAAGGCCUCCUUUGGUGCUCAUUAAGGGGGACAGAGGAAUGUAGGGAAGUGGGAAGGGCUCUGGGAAGAGAGCAGGAGCUGGAAGUGAGGCAGGUUUCCUGCUGAGGCAAUAGGGGAGCAUGUGAGGGAUGGAAAUUGAAUUCACUUGGCAUCUUCCCCUCAGCUUAGCACCUCUCCGAGGAGGGUGUGGGACUAAAAGCCUGUGACCCCCUGAAGCUACAGAGAACAGCGAGCCCAAGUUGAACUGGAUUCACUGUAACAACCAACUUCUUCUUCCCGAUUCCAGCUCCUUUGGGCAUUUCCAAGCGAAGGCAAAUGGCGUGGCCUCAGGAUCGCCAGCGGGCUCGGCCGGGAGCGAGGCCCUGCGACGAGGGCUGUGUCUGACCAGGCUCUCCGUUACGAAGCUGAACCACCUGGUGACGGAGCAGCUGGUAAAGUGCGGCGUCCCAGCGGUGGGCAUUUCGCCCUUUGGCACCUGGAGGACAGCAGGCAAGAAAGUCAGCCAGGCUGGCAUUUCUGCCAUAAGGGACGCCUUGGAUGCUGGCUACAUCCCGGUCGUGCAUGGGGACUGUGCUCUGGACUCUGAACAGCACUGCUGUAUCUUAUCAGGGGAUGCUAUCAUUGAGACAUGCCUCUGACUGGUGCGGAGAAUCUCUGAAAGAGCCGAUCCCCUGAGAGUCCAUAUAGGAAUCUCCUGGGAAUGUCAUCUUAUUCAUGCACUCUGACUGUGGAUUCCAUACAGGUUCUGUCCAGGGAAUUCUCCCCCCAGCGAGUGGUUUUCUUGACUGAUGUCAGUGGAAUCUAUGACCGUCCACCUGAUACCCCAGGUAUGGUGUAAGGCUC